rnacentral:rRNA from 1 species
GAUGAACGCUGGCGGCGUGCCUAAUACAUGCCAGUCGAGCGAACAGACGAGGAGCUUGCUCCUCUGACGUUAGCGGCGGACGGGUGAGUAACACGUGGAUAACCUACCUAUAAGAUUGGGAUAACUUCGGGAAACCGGAGCUAAUACCGGAUAAUAUAUUGAACCGCAUGGUUCAAUAGUGAAAGACGGUUUUGCUGUCACUUAUAGAUGGAUCCGCGCCGCAUUAGCUAGUUGGUAAGGUAACGGCUUACCAAGGCAACGAUGCGUAGCCGACCUGAGAGGGUGAUCGGCCACACUGGAACUGAGACACGGUCCAGACUCCUACGGGAGGCAGCAGUAGGGAAUCUUCCGCAAUGGGCGAAAGCCUGACGGAGCAACGCCGCGUGAGUGAUGAAGGUCUUCGGAUCGUAAAACUCUGUUAUUAGGGAAGAACAAAUGUGUAAGUAACUAUGCACGUCUUGACGGUACCUAAUCAGAAAGCCACGGCUAACUACGU